rnacentral:lncRNA from 1 species
CAAGAACUAUCUUUAAAAAAGAUAUCCGACGUAUUUAAAUUUGAGUAUAUGUUUAAAACUACCAUUUCGAUAACCUUCAGAAGCACAAAAAUAUCAUUUAAAAAACGUUUUCUCUGUUUGUGUUCAGUAUUCUCGGUCCUCUUAUCUUUCUGUUUACAUUCACCAAAACCCCGCGGAAAUCUCACAUGCGAAGGUGAGUUCUAAAAGUCAUGUACGUUUGUACAACAAAGUUUACAUUAAAAAUUAUAUAAUUGUCCCGAA